CCUACGGGAGGUAGCAGUGAGGAAUAUUGGUCAAUGGACGCAAGCCUGAACCAGCCAAGCCGCGUGAGGGAAGAAGGUACAGCGUAUCGUAAACCUCUUUUGUCAGGGAACAAAGGCGGGGACUAGUCCCCGGCUGAGGGUACCUGAAGAAAAAGCAUCGGCUAACUCCGUGCCAGCAGCCGCGGUAAUACGGAGGAUGCGAGCGUUAUCCGGAUUUAUUGGGGUUAAAGGGUGCGCAGGCGGCCUGUUAAGUCAGCGGUAAAAGCCCGGGGCUCAACCCCGGCGAGCCAUUGAAACUGGCGGGCUGGAGUUGGAGAGAAGUACGCGGAAUGCGCGGUGUAGCGGUGAAAUGCUUAGAUAUCGCGCAGAACCCCGAUUGCGAAGGCAGCGUACCGGCUCCAUACUGACGCUGAGGCACGAAAGCGUGGGUAUCGAACAGGAUUAGAUACCCCUGUAGUC
rnacentral:rRNA from 1 species